UACGUAGGGCGCAAGCGUUAUCCGGAAUUAUUGGGCGUAAAGAGCUCGUAGGCGGUUUGUCGCGUCUGCCGUGAAAGUCCGGGGCUCAACUCCGGAUCUGCGGUGGGUACGGGCAGACUAGAGUGAUGUAGGGGAGACUGGAAUUCCUGGUGUAGCGGUGAAAUGCGCAGAGUAUCAGGAGGGACACCGAUGGCGAAGGCAGGUCUCUGGGCAUUAACUGACGCUGAGGAGCGAAAGCAUGGGGAGCGAACAGG
rnacentral:rRNA from 1 species